GUCAGUCCACCAUGGAGAGAGCCGCUGUGAUGUCGGCCCACAGGACUCCCUCAGUACCUGAGUGCAACAUCUCAACCUCCACCCUGGCCUUCGACCAGCACUUCACCACUACUGCCAAAGGAAUACUGCUCCUGGCUGAGAUAGUAUUCGGUAUGCUGGUGUGGAUUCUGGUAGGGGGUACAGACUAUUUUGACGUGUCUGCUCUCUGCUGGGUGAUGUUCGUUGCCAUCUUGUGCUGGGUCCUGACCGUCUGCCUGUUUAUAAUUUAUGGAGCCCACAGCAGGAUACCACAGGUCCCCUGGACUACAGUGUCGCUGUGUUUGAACUGCAGUGCUGCAGCUCUGUAUCUGGUGACAGCAGUAGCAGAUGCUUUCUCAGUCAACCAGGCCAUUCGGGGACGACACAACUACAACUGCUGGGCAGCAUCUGCAUUCUUUGCAUUUCUGACCACACUGUGCUACGCAGGAAGCAGUUACCUGAGCUACUGUGCCUGGAAAACCACAGAAGAAGGACAGUAGUCUCUUUUCCUGCUGUUUGAAGGCAACAGAGAUCAGACUGGAAAUUUGACUUCAGAGCAGGACAAGUCAAACGAAAACUUGUGUAGAAACUGUAAAUAUGUUCAUAGCAGAGUAUCUUUGCUGCGCUACUUAUGUUUAGCAGGAAGACACUGAGGCAGAGGGAAAAACUUUUGCUCUCAACGCAUUUUUAUGGACUCUGUAACUAAACAAAACAUGAGCUCAUUAAGACAAGGCGCUCUCAAAACAGUGGAAUCUGAGUUAAAUUGUGCAAUGACAAAAAAUAAAAUUUUCCUAUGUUUGCCAUUGUAUGUUUGAGGUUACUGCAGUGUCACACACAUGAAAAAGCAGGAAGUUGUGGACGAUCCUGCACAAAAGUUGUUCUUCAUUAUCAUUACAUAAAAUCAAGUUGCUUUGAUUUAGUUGUUUUAUUAAUUUUGCAUAACAGCCACAAAGUCACAAGAGGAAAAAAAAUAUCAUACCUUUUAUAAAAUACAACAGCAUAUUGCAUGCAACAGAAUUAAAUAUUGGUCAGACUGAACAUUUCUCCAACCAUUUAAAUAUGCAGAAAUAAAAACCACAUAUAUAAUCUCUUAAUAUCCUUAGCAUUCCUCAAAAUACAUGAGGUAUUGAUAAAGUGCAAUAAAUCACUGCAGUCUGUCUUUCAUGAGAAUGCAAAAUGCUUUUACUCAGAGCCCCUUCAUUUGAUGAAAAAAUAUUGUCUUGUCUAUAAAGUACAUGUUUAGUAGAUAACUUCCCCACAUGGGGUCACAAACUGAGUUAAUCGUUCACAGUCACCCUUCAUUCUGUUUUUUUUUUUUU